rnacentral:rRNA from 1 species
UACGGAGGGUGCAAGCGUUAUCCGGAUUCACUGGGUUUAAAGGGAGCGUAGGUGGGUUGGUAAGUCAGUGGUGAAAUACCCGAGCUUAACUCGGGAACUGCCAUUGAUACUGCUGAUCUUGAAUACCGUAGAGGUAAGCGGAAUAUGUCAUGUAGCGGUGAAAUGCUUAGAUAUGACAUAGAACACCGAUUGCGAAGGCAGCUUACUAUGCGCAUAUUGACACUAAUGCUCGAAAGCGUGGGGAGCAAACAGG